rnacentral:rRNA from 1 species
GGUGAACGCUGGCGGCGUGCCUAAUACAUGCAAGUCGAGCGAACGGAUGAGAAGCUUGCUUCUCUGAUGUUAGCGGCGGACGGGUGAGUAACACGUGGAUAACCUACCUAUAAGACUGGGAUAACUUCGGGAAACCGGAGCUAAUACCGGAUAACAUUUUGAACCGCAUGGUUCAAAAGUGAAAGACGGUCUUGCUGUCACUUAUAGAUGGACCCGCGCCGCAUUAGCUAGUUGGUAAGGUAACGGCUUACCAAGGCAACGAUGCAUAGCCGACCUGAGAGGGUGAUCGGCCACACUGGAACUGAGACACGGUCCAGACUCCUACGGGAGGCAGCAGUAGGGAAUCUUCCGCAAUGGGCGAAAGCCUGACGGAGCAACGCCGCGUGAGUGAUGAAGGUUUUCGGCUCGUAAAACUCUGUUAUUAGGGAAGAACAUAUGUGUAAGUAACUGUGCACAUCUUGACGGUACCUAAUCAGAAAGCCACGGCUAACUACGUG